CCAGCCCUUCUGCUAUCCACAU
rnacentral:miRNA from 1 species